GAUGAAGAACGUAGCGAAAUGCGAUACUUGGUGUGAAUUGCAGAAUCCCGUGAACCAUCGAGUCUUUGAACGCAAGUUGCGCCCGAAGCCAUUAGGCCGAGGGCACGCCUGCCUGGGCGUCACACGUCGUUGCCCCCCCAUCUACUCCUUCGGGAUUGCGGGGGGCGGAUGAUGGCCUCCCGUGCGCCUCGUCGCGCGGUUGGCAUAAAUGCCAAGUCCUCGGCGACGCACGCCACGACAAUCGGUGGUUGCGAAACCUCGGUUGCCCGUCGUGUGCGGUCGUCGCGCAUCGAGGGCUCGAAAAAAUUGUCGGGCUCCGGCUCGGCUUUCAACGCGACCCCAGGUCAGGCGGGGUUACCCGCUGAAUUUAAGCACAUCAAUAAGCGGAGGA
rnacentral:misc_RNA from 1 species